rfam:Firmicutes bacterium CAG:308 genomic scaffold, scf5
CAUAUCGCAACGAAGAGAAAUAGUACAUAGGAGUUCGUGUGUAGAGAAGGACUGGCUGGUGAAAAGUCUUGAUUGAGCCUAUGGAAUACACCUUGGAGCUUCAUUAUAUGACGUAUACCUGCGUUAAAGGUUUGAGUGCAUGUGAACAUACAUGAAGUAAGGUGGUACCGCGUUUAUAACGUCCUUAUU